ensembl:lncRNA
CAGGGGCUAGGUGAGAGUAGGGGGUAGUGGUAGGGUGUAGUCAGGGGCUAGGUGAGAGUAGGGGGUAGCGGUAGGGUGUUGUCAGGGGCUAGGUGAGAGUAGGGGGUAGCGGUAGGGUGUUGUCAGGUACUAGGUGAGAGUAGGGGGUAGCGGUAGGGUGUUGUCAGGGGCUAGGUGAGAGUAGGGGGUAGCGGUAGGGUGUUGUCAGGGGCUAGGUGAGAGUAGGGGGUAGCGGUAGGGUGUAGUCAGGGGCUAGGUGAGAGUAGGGGGUAGCGGUAGGGUGUUGUCUGACUCCGCCAGAUCUAGCGAAGCAACUGAAAGCACCAAUCCAACAAGGUCACAUGAUCCUGCUAUAGAAACCAAAGCAGAACAAGUUGUCAAGUAACUUCGAACCAGAGCCAUACACCG